rnacentral:rRNA from 1 species
AUUGAACGCUGGCGGCAGGCCUAACACAUGCAAGUCGAACGAGUGGCGGACGGGUGAGUAAUGUCUGGGAAACUGCCCGAUGGCGGGGGAUAACUACUGGAAACGGUAGCUAAUACCGCAUACCAUCGGAUGUGCCCAGAUGGGAUUAGCUAGUAGGUGGGGUAACGGCGCACCUAGGCGACGAUCCCUAGCUGGUCUGAGAGGAUGACCAGGCACACGGGAACUGAGACACGGGCCAGAAGCCUACGGGAGGAAGCAGUGGGGAAUAGUGCAAGAUGGGUGCAAGCCUGAUGCAGCCAUGCCGCGUGUAUGAAGAAGGCCGUCGGGUUGUAAAGUACGUUCAGCGAGGAGGCGUUACUCGCAGAAGAAGCACCGGCUAACUCAGUGCCAGCAGCCGCGGUAAUUC